UUAAUUUGGCCCGUCGAUAAAAAAAAAAGGUGGUGAUAGACAGAUGGUUUAUCCAAUCAGCUAACCAGUAUUUCCGCCCCUUCCCAAAAGUUCUUCAAUGACAAAUUCCCAGAUGGAUAUGCGGAGCAAAUCCAUCUGGCGAAGUCAGGUUAUUGAAAAAACAUCUUUAUU